CAGCGGCAGCGAAACUAUCAGCUGACAAGAGGACUGGGAGAAGCACUCUGUAAACAUCAAGUGGGAAAAUGGGCACUUAGAGGCAUCUCCGCUCUCAUUAGAGUGUCUUUUCGAGUUAGGAGAAAAGCCAUGGGAUUGGCAGGAUGGUUGGUGCUGGCAGCAGCACUUCUUCUGGGCUCAUUCGGUAUCAAAGCAUGCCUAGCUUUAAUGCUUUCAGCUAUCAUAUUUUGUGGGGGAUGGCUGGUAGCAGUGCGAUGGUGCUGCUUAAUAGAGAGUGAGCAGAUGUGGCUUAACAUCCAUAGAUCACACCUCCCCUUACCCCCUUAUCAACAUGAAAAGG